rnacentral:misc_RNA from 1 species
GGUGGGAGCGGGCUUGCUCGCGAAGGCGGUAUGCCAGCUGACAUAAAUGUUGAAUGUCGGUCCGCUUUCGCGAGCAAGCCCGCUCCCACA